UAAAUACUUCCUCCGUUCCAUAUUAGUUGUCGCUAAAACAGAUGUAUCUAGCACUGAAAUACGUCUAGAUACAUCUGUUUCAGUGACAACUAAUAUGGAACGAAGGGAGUGCAUG
rfam:Triticum aestivum genome assembly, contig: Triticum_aestivum_CS42_TGACv1_scaffold_148834_2BS